GAUAUUUUUUCUCAAUUAUUAUUUUUUUUAUUAAAAUUAAUGGUAGUUUAUAGAAUUUAACAUGUUCGCCUCUGCACAAUAGAAUUCAAAAUAUUGUGUUACAGUGGCGUAAAAAUUACUCUUGUACCUCUAAGACAUAUUAAGCCUGAGCGUAUAAUACUAUCGCGUCCGUAUCCAGUUCAUUGUUUAUGAGUAAUUUUCAGAUCUCUGCUAUAUAUUUGACAGUUUAAGGGCUAAUUUUUGAUGGAAUUUCUUGCAUUCAUCAUGCACCCAUUGCUCCAUUUGUCCCAAAUACCAGUGGCGUAAAUGUUCCAUUUUCCACUUCGAUAAUACAGUCGUUCUAUGCUCGUUUCUUCUCUUGCUCGGCGUU